rnacentral:lncRNA from 1 species
AAUCCAAAGGCAAAUUUUUAGUUCUCAUUUUAGGCAGUACUUGACAUCUUGACCACUUCCACAUUUUGAAACACUGUCUUCUCUAAGCUUCCAGAACACCUCACUCACUGGUUUCCUCUUACUUAACUGGCAUCUCUUCAGUCUACUUUGCUUUAUCUUCUUCCUCUGACUUCUAAAUAUUAGAGAUGCUCACAUCUUAGUCCCAUGUUUUUUUCUAUCUCUAUUCUCCCUAAAUGGUUUCAUCCAAUCCCAUGGCUGUAAAUAUUAUCUUUGUUUUGAUAAGUCCCAAGAUUAUAAUUCUAACCCUAACUUUUUGAACACUUGACUGAAUAUUCUUUUUGCAUUCUUAUGGAAAACUUAAGGUACAUAAAAAUAAUAUAUUGAACCUCAAUAAGUUUUUCACUCAAGCAUCAACAGUUACUAAAUUAAUAAUAGAUUAAUUAUUCUUAAUAUGGUAGGUGAUUAUUUUUCAUUUUUGAAGUUGACAUAUUCAUAGACCUUUAUUCCAUAUAUUUUGUGUUUUGCUCAAUUAUUUAACUUUUUAUUGGGACUGAUUGUGGAGGUUAUUUUGGGAAGCUUUUGUAUCUUUAUUCAUUAUUGUACGAGUCUGCAUCAAAUCAGUUGCAGGAAAUAGAUCUGGCUCUUUUAAAUAUAUGGAGAUUUAAUGUAGGGAAUUGGUAUUUAGAAAAUUGUUUAAAGUGGUGGAGGAGUAGGCUUUAGCCUAGACUUUCAGAAAUGAGUCCCAGGAUAAUACUACUAAGUUGGGCUGUUAAGGGAACUACUACCACUGUCCCCAUCCAUCAGGAUGAUGGAGAAUCAAAACCACAACUGGGGAGUUCCUGUCAUGGCUCAGUGAUUAACGAAUUUGACUAGGAACCAUGAGGUUGCGAGUUCGAUCCCUGGCCUCGCUUAGUGGGUUAAGGAUCCAGCAUUGCGGUGAACUGUGGUAUAGGUCGCAGAUGUGGCUCGGAUCUGGCAUUGCUGUGGCUGUGGUAUAGGCCGAUGGCUAUAGCUCUGAUUAGACCCCAAACCUGGGAAUCUCCAUAUGCCUUGGGUGUGACCCUCAAAAGACAAAAAGACCAAAAAAAAAAAAGAAAAAGAAGAAAGAAAAAAGAGACCUAAAAACAUAUAUUAAAAAAAGGUAGGAGUUCCCGUCGUGGCGCAGGGGUUAACGAAUCCGGCUAGGAACCAUGAGGUUUCGGGUUUGGUCCCUGCCCUUGCUCAGUGGGUUAACGAUCCGGCGUUGCCCUGAGCUGUGGUGUAGGUUGCAGAUGCGGCUUGGAUCCCGCGUUGCUGUGUCUCUGGCAUAGGCCGGUGGCUGCAGCUCCGAUUCGACCCCUAGCCUGGGAACCUCCAUAUGCCGUGGGAAUGGCCCCAAAAAAUAGCAAAAAGACAAAAAAAGAAAAAAAAAAAAA